rnacentral:ncRNA from 1 species
AAAGACUUAGUCCUAACCUUACGAUUGGUUACAGCCAAAUAUAUACAUGCAAGUAUCCGCGCUCCAGUGUAGAUGCCCUUAAUCGCCUCUUUUCCCCCGGCUCUAAGGAGCGGGCAUCAGGCACACCCAAGCAGUAGCCCAAGACGCCUUGCGUAGCCACGCCCCCACGGGUAUUCAGCAGUAAUUAAUAUUAAGCAAUGAGUGAAAACUUGACUUAGUUAUGGCAACAAUUUAAGGGUUGGUAAAUCUUGUGCCAGCCACCGCGGUCACACAAGAAACCCAAAUCAAUCGUCCCUCCACGGCGUAAAGAGUGGGAAAAUGCUUAUCCUAUCAAACUAAGGCCGAAAUGCAACUAAGCCGUCGUAAGCUAAAGAUGCACUUAAGAACGCUAUAAAGAUAACCUUAGAAAAUAGCGACCAAUUUAAACCCACGAAAGCCAGGGCACAAACUGGGAUUAGAUACCCCACUAUGCCUGGCCCUAAAUCUCGAUACUUAUAAUACCCAAGUAUCCGCCCGAGAACUACGAGCGCAAACGCUUAAAACUCUAAGGACUUGGCGGUACCCUAAACCCACCUAGAGGAGCCUGUUCUAUAAUCGAUAAUCCACGAUGAACCCAACCACCCCUUGCCCAACACCAGCCUACAUACCGCCGUCCCCAGCCCACCUCGAGAUGAGAGCACAACAGUGAGCAAAAUAGCGUCUCCCGCUAACAAGACAGGUCAAGGUAUAGCCCAUGGGGUGGGAGAAAUGGGCUACAUUCUCUGAGACAGAGCACCACGAAAAGAAGCGUGAAACCGCUUCUGGAAGGAGGAUUUAGCAGUAAAAUAGGAUAAUAGAGCCUAUUUUAAGCCGGCCCUGGGGUACGUACAUACCGCCCGUCACCCUCCUCACAAGCUAUAAAACCCAAUAAUUAAUACAACCAACACGCUAAAGAUGAGGUAAGUCGUAACAAGGUAAGUGUACCGGAAGGUGUACUUAGAAUAC